UACGUAGGGACCAAGCGUUGUUCGGAUUUACUGGGCGUAAAGGGCGCGUAGGCGGCAAUUCAAGUCAUCUAUGAAAUCUCCGGGCUUAACCCGGAACGGUCAGGUGAUACUGUUUUGCUAGAGUGCGGAAGGGGCAAUCGGAAUUCUCGGUGUAGCGGUGAAAUGCGUAGAUAUCGAGAGGAACACCAGAGGUGAAGACGGGUUGCUGGGCCGACACUGACGCUGACAGCGCGAAAGCCAGGGGAGCAAACGGG
rnacentral:rRNA from 1 species